AUUAGUAUUAGUUAUUUUCUUGAAAAUUAAAGAUUUUGGCGGUAUUUUAGUCUAUUCAGAGGAACCUGUUCUGUAAUUGAUAGUCCACGAUUUACUUUACUUGAAAAAUUUGUAUAUCGUCGUUUUUCGAAUAUUUUAUUAGAAUUUUAAUAUUCAGGCAUUUAUAUAAAAAUAUAAGUCAGAUCAAGGUGCAGUUUAUAUUCAAGAAGAAAUGGGUUACAAUAAAAUUAUUUAAAUGGUUUAAUGAAUGAAAUUUUAUUAAUAAAGUGGGAAAGUAAUAUUUUUAAUUUAAUAAUAUGAUUUUAGCUCUAAAAUAUG
rnacentral:rRNA from 1 species